rnacentral:misc_RNA from 1 species
CGUCUUUCGGCGUGCUUGUGCGACUGCGAACCGCCGUUGCUGUUUUCUCGUGUUGUUGCUGCUUCGCUUAGCCUCGUUGGCCUGCGCAUCACCGCACUGCUCUCGGUUUGGCGCGCCUCCGUGUGCAGGCGCCUUUCUCUUCCUCUGGGUGUGGCUCUGACCGCCACGUCGUGGUUCUUGACGAAGGCCGCAGACACACUCGCGGAAAACUCCAUCUCUUUGUUCCUCACCUUCCUCUGCUCCAUCCACAGAACAACCCACCCGCGACCCUGCACCUUGCAGUACCCGUACAGCUACCUUCUGCUCCCCUCUUGUAUCUUCGUCACUUGUGUGCACGACUACUCGCUGCGGACUCGCCACUUGCUCUGCGCUCUGUUUUCUGAGGGGCAUCUGCUUGUGGUGCUGCUGCUGCUGCUGUCGCCCACUCGUUGAUUUUGAAAAACGGUUUUGUAAUGUGCGAGGGUAGUAUACACACAGUGAGGCCUCGCACCUGCAGCGGGUGGUGCGCGCUGGCAUGCAGUUACAUCCCGUGCGUGGUUGCCAUAGCUCUCAUCGCGGCCAACAUUAUUCCAUACCACCUCUGCUUCCUCAGAAGGCUUCGCGCCGCGUGCGAGAUCGGCAAUGCGUCCUUUGUGUACUACUACUACUGUGUUGUGGUGAUGGUUUUUGCCGAGGUGAUGGUGUACGGCAACUUCUUGCUGGCCAUCUUCACCUGCCCUGGUUUCGUGCCGCACGAGCCGUGGUCGGAGGCCCCGGUGUACCAGGGCCGGUCUGUCAGUGACAACCCGUACGAGGUGUUCGAACUUGACCGGGUCGGUAGGCUUCGCUACUGCAGUUUCUGCAAGCAGUUCAAGCCGGACCAGGCUCAUCACUGCCACACAUGCCACUGCUGCGUCUACCGCAUGGAUCACCACUGCCCAUGGAUCAACAACUGCGUCGGCCGUGGGAACAGCAAGUUCUUUCUGCUGUUUGUUGGCUACAUCCCUGUCGGCGCCUUUCACAUUGUGCUUACGUCGCUCUUCAGCUGCGUCUUCCACUUCCCGAAGUUUUUCGAUAUGGCGCUGCAGGACGACAGCGUCUUGCAAAGUAUGGUCAUCAUCUUAUCGAUUAUCUUCUCCACCGUCAUGGGCAUCUGCUUCCUGGCGUUCGCACUGCACUUCGCAUGCAUGGCGUACCGUGGCCAGACCUCCGUGUCGCGUAUGAUCGCCUCUAAGAAGCAUCCCGACGAGCUAGAGCAAGCUCGCAAGCGCCAGGCCGAAGAUCGAGCCUUCUACAUGUUUGACCUCUUCGGUAGCGAUCAGCGGUGGCACCGGAUGAUACUCCCCUUCAAGCCUGACCACGACAUCCGUCGCGCGCCACACGGCUACGCGCGUCGAUUCGGCGGCUCCGCAGAUGUGUUCUUCAUGAGCCCCGUGUAGUCGGCAAGCGUGAUUGGGGGGGGGGAGGAGGGCACAGACACGCGCAGCUGUCGUGUGCGCGACAGGUCUCUCUGUGCAUCCUGCCGCUGUUGGCACUUUGGUGUAGAGGGUGGUGGAGGCGCGCUACUACGGACACACAUGUGUGCUUGCUUGUGGCGCACGUGGCUGCGCGAGAGCCGCGCUUCGCUUCGCCGCCACCUCUCGCGUUUUCAUGGACGACCCUCUCACACCUUGUUGGAGGAGGAUGCGGUUGCCUCUUGUCGCGCGGCACCGCUUCGCCUCCAAGUCAUCAACAACCCUCUCUUCGCUAUUCUUGUUGCUUCGCGCGUGCACACAGGCGGUGAUGAUGGCUCUGACACCCGUGCAGUGCGUGUGGUCGUGGGCGUAUUCGCCCUCAAUCCUGCUGCCCCUCCUUUCUUGUUUGUGAGCACCCCCCCUCUCUGGUUCUGAGAGACGGGCGUAACCCGUAUAUGUGGCGGAGGUGGGGAAGGGCUCUGCGUGAACCUGUAUGAUGAUGCCGUAGUAGCUUC